GGCUAGGUAGCGUAGCGGUAGCGCGUUAGGUAAUAACCCUAAAGGUCGAGGGUUCGAUCCCUUCCUUAGCUU
rnacentral:tRNA from 1 species